CCUUGUAGCCUUGGCUCGAGGAUGAUGGGGUUACCAAGAACGGUAAAAUCUAGGGGUUUUUCCUCGUUUACCUUGUAGGGCUUUUUGUGUUUAUUUAUUAUUUAUUCUCAGGAGGUCUCGAGGUAUGCUGGAGCUUUGCUCGCCGCCUCUGAAAGCUGGGGAAUGUCUUUUGGUGAGUGCAAGGUGGCGAGAUCCUUCAUAACUCGUUGGCAUAAGGAGACGGUGUGCUAAGAAAAACCUUCUGAGGGCAAUGAAAGAGAAGUAGCAAUCUGAUGAGAUUACAGAAUUCAGUUGCAGAGGAGUCCAGAGCACCUCAGGAAAGUAGUACAGUAUAUUGGAAGAACUAGCACAUUCAGCAGCAAGAGGACAGCACCCAUCUCCCCACCAGUUUCCAACUAAGUCUACAAACAACUGCAUGGAGAGAGCUACCACUGCCCCAAAAAAGAGCUGUCUGGAAGAGCUUAGAUCCACGUAAUUUUGUGAAAGAUACAUAUAUUGCAAAAACCACAUUCAAUCUCUGAGUAAAAUGGAAAUAAUAGAAUUGUAUUUCCAUUUUAGCCUGACAAAGCAAAUUCUAGAAUAAGUAAAUAAAGACAAACGCAGGAAGUGUGAUGUAUGGAUGCUUACAUUUUCAAUGCAAAUACCAAAAUUUCUGGGCAUGCUGCUCUGAACAGUGUGUUUGAUGUUGGUGAACAUCAGCUCUUGGAUAGAUUACUGCACUUAAAGAAACGCAGAUGCUUCUCAGAAAUCACAUUCAUCUUGUCCUUUUGGAGCAGAGAGCCCCAGGGUGAUUCCUUUCAGUCCCCCACCUUUGCUGCUUGUAGCGUCAUAUGAGGACCAAGGUGAGAGGGAGCCACAAAAGGCUAACAGCAGACAAAUAUUCCUUAGAGAGAGGGCACUUAUGCCUCGGAGGGUGUACACAAGUGAUGCAGUUUUUGAGCAGCCACCACAUGACUCAAAAGUGACCCUCAGAGAUGCUCCAAAACUGGAUCCCCAGCGCUCAAAAGGUAGGACCAAACAGAGCAAAAUGGUUGGAUCUGCACUCCAUGACGGAAAGCACAUAGCUCACGUAUGUUGGAAGCUCUCGUUCCACGAGGUAUCACAAUGCUGGCCUGGAAAAACAAGUAAACUAUUCAAUUUUAAGUAAUAGCUGCAUGCAAGUGGUAUAUUUAUGAAACUGUGUACCCACAGAAGGGAAGGUAACUCUCCCAAAAGUAGGUACAGUAGAAACAUAUAUUCAGCUGUGAAAGACAGCAUACUGCCCUCAGGGACAUCAGCUAUGGCACUCUUACUCAAUUCAGAAAUCAGGAUGUUUGUGGAUAGAAAACAGUAUCCACUUUCGCUUCAGGUAAGUGAAAAUAAUUGUUAGAGAGUUACAGAUCCUAACAUUAAUCAAUGCAAACAGUGCUGUAACAAAGCAAAACUGUAUCUGAACUAUGCUGUGCUCAUUCAACUAAGGUAAGACAGGAAGACAUUUUCAUUAUGUUGCGCAUACUUCAACAUUUUCAGUAAGCUUCUGCUCUGCUGAACUCAGAGCAGUUCUGUGCUGUCCUCCUGGAGCAAACGUUUCUGACCACAGCUAAAUGGCUAAAGCAUUAAUUUUCCUUUAAUUUUCCAUCCACACUUCUGCAUCUUCAAUUAAUGUGAGAGCUAGUGCUAAUAUUUAGACAUCUAACUGCCUGC